AACGAACGCUGGCGGCAGGCCUAACACAUGCAAGUCGAACGUGAAGCCACCUUCGGGUGGUGGAAAGUGGCAGACGGGUGAGUAACGCGUGGGAACGUGCCUUUCGGUUCGGGAUAACCCAGGGAAACUUGGGCUAACACCGGAUACGCCCUUCGGGGGAAAGAUUCAUUGCCGAAAGAUCGGCCCGCGCCGGAUUAGCUCGUUGGUGGGGGAAAAGCCUACCAAGGCGACGAUCCGUAGCUGGUCUGAGAGGAUGAUCAGCCACACUGGGACUGAUACACGGCCCAGACUCCUACGGGAGGCAGCAGUUGGGAAUAUUGGACAAUGGGCGAAGGCCUGAUCCAGCCAUGCCGCGUGGGUGAAGAAGGCCUUAGGGUUGUAAACCCCUUUCAGCGGGGAAGAUAAUGACGGUACCCGCAGAAGAAGUCCCGGCUAACUCCGUGCCAGCCGCCGCCGUAAGAC
rnacentral:rRNA from 1 species